GCUUUAAAUCACAACACAGGAAGCUUCCGAGGACCAAUCACGCACAGCCUUUGCAACAGAUUACUACAGGCUAAUUCCCUACAGAGAACAGUCAGUCAGUUACCUUUUGCUUCCACAGGGCAUUGCCAGGUUGGCCUUUCCUACCAACCAAGGAAAGAUGAGCUACUCCACUGGAUUGUUAAAGAGCCCCACCAUGGACCAUAAUUACUAAGGGGAUGCAUAAACUCAGUUCUGCUUUCUGCUUCCGUAUCCAUGAAGCCCACCGAGUUAAGUGGAGUUUGCCAUUAGCAGGGUCUCUAAGUACCCUUUUGGAUUGACUUCUUCCUCUUUGUGACUUGCCAGGAAGUGGUAAGAUCCUUUCAAUCGGAUGUUUGGGGACAGGUUAGGAAGAGUCAGAAGCUGGUCUUAGGCCCAAGCCUGAGGAGGGUGCACUGAUCCAGCUUAUCCAAAGUACUGCUUUAGGUUUUGGCUACAUGUAUAGUAAUCAGUUAAGUGUACUUGCUACAAUUAUGACCAAUUAGCCUUUGAGUGUGCAGCUCCAAUGGUGAGAAGGACCUGCUGGCAGGUCAAGAUUUAAGCAUUCCUGGAUCCCCUGGACAUACUGCCACCAAAUUACUGUCAAGAACCCCAUUCUUCAACAUAACAGGAAUUAUUAAAAAAUAAUUUGCUCCAUGAAUUACUACUUUUGUUUUAGGCUUUUCAUGUAAACAACACUACAAUAACCUUCAGCAUGAUUACUCAAAAGAAUUGUAAAACAAAAUUCGCCUAUAUAUCCAGUCUUUUUACAUUUUUAAAGAAUUUAAAAUAGCUUUUGUUAACCUGCACUUAUUUUUUUUUCUUUGUCUUCCAGUUGUAUGUCCAAUGGCGUAUGGGCUCUCAAGUUCACGUGCUCAUUUUUGAGUUGUUCCCCUUCAUCUGGCUCCAUCCUUACGAUCUUUAUGGUCUGGGCAUUUGGAAUAAUGUAACUCUCUGUAGUGAACAUAUUUCUCUUAUAUCUGGAUUUGCCAAUGUAGGGACUUUCAUCUGGGGUUUUAUCAAUUUCGACAUACUAAAAGCAAAAUAAGUAAAGAUUUAUGGUUUAAUAAGUAACUUCUAAGCAGCCAGAUAAAAAAUAUAUACUUUUUUUUUUUUAUCUUACCCUUAACAUACCAAAAAAAGAACUAAAACAAAAAAUGGUCUCAAGGUGUUCCUCUUCCCAUCCCCAAAGAGUGGGUUUAGCUUGGUUGAUUAAAGAACUGCCUACAGGUAUGUGAUUAUUAGCAUUGCUUAAUCUCUCAAAUCAGAAAUUUCAGUGUUUUAUUUUGGCUUCUUAGCUGAUAUGUAAGUAAAACCCCACCUAAUAAGUGAUAAUAAUUGACUUUUUUAUGAAAUAAUAUUAUGAUAUUCGUUGGAAUCACAGAUUCCCUUGGGGCUUUUUACCUUUUUUGGAGGCUGCUUUAACUUACUGAACCAAAAAUUCACUGUUUCAAGCAAAAUAUGUUUACUCUGAAAGUGGAAUGUCCCUUGAAAAUUUCUUUCCACCAUCUGCCUCCCCCCACUCCACUCCCUGCUGGCUUUAACUGUGGAUUACUAAGAAGUUUAACUCACCUCUGAUGGAUAAUAAUUUAGUGGCUCAAAUUUGGCAUCAAUUUUAUAAAAGGCCAAUUCCUGUUCCAUCUCAUACUGUUUUUGACACGCUCGCAUUAGUUCCAUGGUCUUCUGUUUUAGCUAUUGGUCCAAUUUGAUAUGAAACAUACAGUGUCAGUAAGUUAGUAUACAAGUAUGAUGGUAUGGCAAGUUCUAAUCACAGCUAAUAAUUAGAUUGUUUUAAACCUCGCAGCAAAUAGCAGAACACUCACAACAUUUUGUUUUCAUUCUAAAGGAUUAUAAAGAAUGCGAUAUAAAAUUACCACUUCAUAAGAGAUCACAUAAAAGACCUUUGAAGUUUAUAUGCUAUUUCAGGGUAUAAAGAUUUAAUGAAUAAAGAUUUAAAAACUCAUCUAAAUUUGCUUUAUCCAAACGUGAAAAUAAUUCUAUAUCAAUUAUUUUUAUGUAAUCUAUUAAGUACCUGCUUCCAGACUUUCCAAUAAUUAACACUAAUUUAUUUAACUUACUCUACAAUGUUAAUAGCAGCUUCAAAUUAUGGAUGGAAAUGAUAUCUGGGAUUAAUUACAAAGGAAUCAGAAGAAGGAGUGAGAAGGAAGAAAUUAAGAGACUGGUUUUAAUUGUUGUACUGUUGUUGCUGUAGUAUCUCAAUGUUCUGAACAUUAUUCUUUGUAAUAGAGGAUAAAGGAUGUAAAUAAUGUCAAUCAGAUCCCAAUAUGUAAUAUUACAUUUUUAAUAGAAUAAUUCUACUAUAAUUACAGUUUACUUAUUCUUAGAAAUUUUUAGAGCUAGAAGAAAAGAGAUCAUCCAAUUUAAUUCUCUGAAAUAUAAAUAAAGAAAUUGAGUCCUAGAUUGGUGAGCUGACUUGUCAAAAGUUACACAUGAGAUUAGUGGCAGAUGCUAAAUAUUUUAUUAACUACCACUACGAGCCCCCUUUCUACUAAACCAAUCCGGUGAGUUCAUUUCAAAGGUCCGCUAAGUGAUUUUUGUCUUUUUUAUUUUUUGACAGGGUCUGAUAGUAGUUACCAGACAAAAACAUGCAGAAAAACUUCAUUAAUAUAAAAAUGCAAGCUGAAGAGAAUAAGACAUAAACAGACAGGAACAUUUUACAAGGCCCAGGAAAUCAAAGUCGUGCAGGAUUUAGCUUACAGUCAUCUCCUGAUUAUCCAUCAAAAUGGAAGUAAGGCUAACUGGGAUAACAGGUAAUCUUGAUCAAGUACUCACUGUAUGGGAGACACUGUGCUAAGCCUUUUUUAUGUGUGCUGUCUCACUGAAUCUUCACAACUACCCUAUGAGAUGAUAAAGGCUGCACCAGGAGGCUAGAUAACUUGCCCAAUCGCACAACUUGUAGUGGAAGAGGCAGAGUUCAAUUCCAAGUCUCCUGGAUUUCAAAUUCAACACUCUGUCUGCUGCUGCAGGGUGUUCAGCUCAUUACCCACAUUGAUGUUCUCACUGAAUGCUCGCUCUUAAGUCCCUGAAUCUCAAGAAGGCAACUCACAACCAACAGCAUCAACUAAUCUUGGGCUUCUCUUCCCAAAGAAAGAUCAUUGGCAGUAAGGCCCAAACAAAGGCAAAUGUGACGGGAUCCAUGGACAAUGUAGGGACUUGUCUCUGCAGGCAAAUGAUACAUACUCUGUGCAUCUUAAAAUUACCUUUGUGUCUCUUAUAGAGCUAGGCGUAGCAUUUAGUAAGCAUUCAAUAAAUGUCUGCUGAAGAAAUGCAUAAAUGAGAGCAAAUGAGGAGUCUAAGGACCUGGAAAGUAAGGCUAGUUACGGUACUAGCUGUGGAUAACCAAGAGUUGACUGCAGUUAACAUAUUUACCAAUAAGAAAAAUGAUACAAAUUCUUUCCUUCACAAAUUCACAGUCCUAUGUAAACAUCAAUUAAAAAAAUUACACACACACACACACACACACACACACAAGCACAUUUAUUGAGAAGGCAAGCCAGAUUCAACACUUAAAAUGUACAUAAGCAUAUUAAUACAAGGUAUCAUGCAAACCAUGAAAAACACAGUGUGCAAUUCAUCCCUGAAGGAACUACCUUUAAGGAAGAAUAAAGAAUCGGCAGAAAAUGCUCUGCAAGAAACCAAGACAAGGGCUAAAAGGAGAAAAAAGCAGACAGAGACCAUCACCUGGAGAACUUUAGGGAGUUAAGCUGUAGUUAAAUAGAAGCUGCUCUUUACUGAAAACUUACCUUAGGAACAUAAUGUUAUUAGAACCUGCACCAUUCUUAUAUGGACACAUUUUACCAUCAUUCUGACUAGGUUACAGAUGUACCACCUUCCAUUACCUAUUAAUUCAACUCAAAUUAUUUUCACCUGUAUUACCUUACUUGGUCCUCACGACUCUGUGAGGCUGGCAGGACUUGCAAAAAGAGAAAGAGUAAUAUUAACAUUAAAGUUAAUUAAAGUUAAUGUUUGUUGGUGGCAGGAGAAGGGGACUAUUAUAGUUUAAAUGGCACCAGAAGUUUUACUUCAUUGUCACUACAUUUCUUUUAUAGGCUAAUUGACUUGCUACCUGAAGAAUUACUUUAUGAAACUGGAAAGCAUUAUACAACUAAAGAAAAUAUUAUCACCAAAUAGUCUGAAGAUAAUGGAAAGUGUUUUUCAAAAGUAGGCUCUUAGAAUAAGAUCCAGAAUUCUUUUUGUAACAUAGUAUAGUCUUUUGGAAUAAUGAAAGAAGAACAGGCAAAUACAUAUGCAAUACUCAACUCUCCAACAACUAAACAAAAGUGAAAUUAAAGCAAUGACAUUCUACUUUUUUCCUAUCCUAUUUACACGUUCAAAAUAAUAAUAUCAAGUGGGGAAUUGGGCUCUUUCACUCACUGCUGUAGAAGUAUAAAGCUGUUAUAAGCUUUUAAUGUUUACUAAAAUUUAAGAUGCAAAUUA